rnacentral:rRNA from 1 species
CAGUCGCCGCGGGAAUACAGAGGGUGCGAGCGUUAAUCGGAUUUACUGGGCGUAAAGCGUGCGUAGGCGGCUUCUUAAGUCGGAUGUGAAAUCCCUGAGCUUAACUUAGGAAUUGCAUUCGAUACUGGUAAGCUAGAGUAUGGGAGAGGAUGGUAGAAUUCCAGGUGUAGCGGUGAAAUGCGUAGAGAUCUGGAGGAAUACCGAUGGCGAAGGCAGCCAUCUGGCCUAAUACUGACGCUGAGGUACGAAAGCAUGGGGAGCAAACAGGAUUAGAUACCCCAGUAGUCCCUGUCUCUUAUAA